AACGCAAAUUGCACUCUCUGGCAACCCGGGGAGUAUGCCUGUUUGAGGGUCAGUGUUAAUAAAAAUCGGGUGCGUUGCAAUUUUUGUGACGUUUCCGGAGUUUGAGUUAUCUUAAUUAACUUCGGUUUUAAGAGGCUUAAAAUUGACCUUUUUUUUGUGCAUUUUUUUAGACGUACAUAAAUUUUUUUUUUAUUCGUCCAUCCUAAUGCCAAAAUCUAUUAGAUGCGACCAUAUCUUGUGGUUCCGUGUCUAUAAAUUUUUCAUGAUUUGACCUCAAAUCAGGUAGGAACACCCGCUGAACUUAA
rnacentral:misc_RNA from 1 species